rnacentral:rRNA from 1 species
AGCGAACGCUGGCGGCAGGCCUAACACAUGCAAGUCGAACGAAGUCUUCGGACUUAGUGGCGGACGGGUGAGUAACACGUGGGAACGUACCUUUUGGUUCGGAACAACUCAGGGAAACUUGAGCUAAUACCGGAUGAGCCCUUCGGGGGAAAGAUUUAUCGCCGAAGGAGCGGGCCGCGUUUGAUUAACUAGUUGGUGAGGUAAAGGAUCACCAAGGCUACGAUCUAUAGCUGGUCUGGGAGGAUGAUCAGCCACACUGGGACUGAGACACGGCCCAGACUCCUACGGGAGGCAGCAGUGGGGAAUCUUGCGCAAUGGGCGAAAGCCUGACGCAGCCAUGCCGCGUGAAUGAUGAAGGUCUUAGGAUUGUAAAAUUCUUUUACCAGGGACGAUAAUGACGGUACCUGGAGAAAAAGCCCCGGCUAACUUCGUGCCAGCCGCCGCCGUAAAAC